GACGAACGCUGGCGGCGUGCCUAAUACAUGCAAGUUGAGCGCUGAAGGUUGGUACUUGUACCAACUGGAUGAGCAGCGAACGGGUGAGUAACGCGUGGGGAAUCUGCCUUUGAGCGGGGGACAACAUUUGGAAACGAAUGCUAAUACCGCAUAAAAACUUUAAACACAAGUUUUAAGUUUGAAAGAUGCAAUUGCAUCACUCAAAGAUGAUCCCGCGUUGUAUUAGCUAGUUGGUGAGGUAAAGGCUCACCAAGGCGAUGAUACAUAGCCGACCUGAGAGGGUGAUCGGCCACAUUGGAACUGAGACACGGCCCAAACUCCUACGGGAGGCAGCAGUAGGGAAUCUUCGGCAAUGGACGAAAGUCUGACCGAGCAACGCCGCGGGAGUGAAGAAGGUUUUCGGAUCGUAAAACUCUGUUGGUAGAGAAGAACGUUGGUGAGAGUGGAAAGCUCAUCAAGUGACGGUAACUACCCAGAAAGGGACGGCUAACUACGUG
rnacentral:rRNA from 1 species